rnacentral:rRNA from 1 species
AUUGAACGCUGGCGGUAGGCCUAACACAUGCAAGUCGAACGCGAAAGUCCUUCGGAGUGAGUAGAGUGGCGGACGGGUGAGUAACGCGUAGGAAUCUAUCCUGUAGUGGGGGAGUAACGUUUCGAAAGGAACGCUAAUACCGCAUACGCCCCAACGGGGGAAAGCGGGGGAGUCUUCGGACCUCGUGCUAUAGGAGGAGCCUGCGUCGGAUUAGCUAGUUGGUGAGGUAAAGGCUCACCAAGGCGACGAUCCGUAGCUGGUCUGAGAGGAUGAUCAGCCACACCGGAACUGAGACACGGUCCGGACUCCUACGGGAGGCAGCAGUGGGGAAUAUUGCGCAAUGGGCGAAAGCCUGACGCAGCCAUACCGCGUGUGUGAAGAAGGCC